rnacentral:rRNA from 1 species
GACGAACGCUGGCGGCGUGCUUAACACAUGCAAGUCGAACGGUAAGGCCCUUCGGGGUACACGAGUGGCGAACGGGUGAGUAACACGUGGGUGAUCUGCCCUGCACUUCGGGAUAAGCCUGGGAAACUGGGUCUAAUACCGGAUAGGACCACUGCCUGCAUGGGUGGGGGUGGAAAGCUUUUGCGGUGUGGGAUGGGCCCGCGGCCUAGCAGCUUGUUGGUGGGGUGAUGGCCUACCAAGGCGACGACGGGUAGCCGGCCUGAGAGGGUGACCGGCCAGACUGGGUCUGAGAGACGGCCCAGGCUCCUACCGGAGGCAGCAGUGGAGAAUAUUGCGCAAUGGGCGCAAGCCUGAUGCAGCGACGCCGCGUGAGGGAUGACGGCCUUCGGGUUGUAAACCUCUUUCAGCGCCGACGAAGCGCAAGUGACGGUAGGUGCAGAAGAAGGACCGGCCAACUACGUGCCAGCCGCCGCAGUAA